rnacentral:rRNA from 1 species
AGAUUGAACGCUGGCGGCAUGCUUUACACAUGCAAGUCGAACGGCAGCGCGGGGCAACCCUGGCGGCGAGUGGCGAACGGGUGAGUAAUGUAUCGGAACGUAUCCUGUAAUGGGGGAUAACCAGUCGAAAGAUUGGGUAAUACCGCAUACGCACGAGAGUGGAAAGUAGGGGAUCGCAAGACCUUACGUUAUAGGAGCGGCCGAUAUCUGAUUAGCUAGUUGGUGGGGUAAAGGCCUACCAAGGCGACGAUCAGUAGCUGGUCUGAGAGGACGACCAGCCAUACUGGGACUGAGACACGGCCCAGACUCCUACGGGAGGCAGCAGUGGGGAAUUUUGGACAAUGGGCGAAAGCCUGAUCCAGCCAUGCCGCGUGCAGGAAGAAGGCCUUCGGGUUGUAAACUGCUUUAGUCUAGGAAAAAGGGGUGCGAGGUUAAUACCCUCGUGCUUUGAUGGUACUGGAAGAAUAAGCACCGGCUAACUACGUG